GAUCAGCUCUUGGGGCCAGGAUGGCUCCCUGCCAGGGUGUUCUGGGAAAUUCAUUUUAAGGGACUGAACCCAGGUCUCCUGCAUUUCAGGCAGAUUCUUUACCAUCUGAGCCACCAGGGAAGCCAGGGGUCCUGGAUUUUACCGCCUGACCCCAGCCACCCCAGGUGGGGGCCACUGAGUUCUCCAGGAGCAGGCUGCCCCCCACACCCAAUCUGGGUGGUCUCCUCUGCUGCAGAGAAGUUCUCGUCACAGAAAUGUGGUUUUCACGUACACAUCGGAGUCUGGAUCAGAACUUCUACCCCCGGCCGUAUGUUAUGCUGAUAAUUGGUACAAACACACCCUGAGUGCGAAGCACCCUUCUCGGAAAGCUGCUACACAGAGGAGAAGGCGACCAUCUGCAAACCAGCAAGAGGGCCCUCACCAGAACCCGACCGUGCCAGCACCCAGAUCCCCAGCUUCCAGCCCCUGGAACCGGGAGAAAUCACUAAAAUCACCCUGUGUGUCCUGAAGAUGGUACAAUCCCAGAGCAGAAGAGUCAUCAGAGUCCUUCAGAGAACAUGAGGGGCCUGGGUUCCCUGGGGAGCCAACUCUGAGGGGGACUGCUUGCAGGGCAUUUGCUCUGGGAGAACUCAGGGGACCUACAGCUGAGGGAGGGAAGAAGGUGGGCUUGGGCCUGCAGGCAACGGGGCUGGACCCAGCCAGUGGAGCUCCAGCCAGCCCCACUGCGGGCCCCAAGCUUGGAGGCCUCUUAGUUUCCCGGGAUGUGGGC
ensembl:lncRNA